ACGAACGCUGGCGGCGUGCUUAACACAUGCAAGUCGAGCGGAAAGGCCACUUCGGUGGUACUCGAGCGGCGAACGGGUGAGUAACACGUGAGUAAUCUGCCCCUCACUUUGGGAUAGCCACCGGAAACGGUGAUUAAUACCGGAUAUGACCAUAUGUCGCAUGGCGUGUGGUGGAAAGUUUUUCGGUGAGGGAUGUGCUCGCGGCCUAUCAGCUUGAUGGUGAGGUAAUGGCUCACCAUGGCUUCGACGGGUAGCCGGCCUGAGAGGGUGACCGGUCACACUGGGACUGAGACACGGCCCAGACUCCUACGGGAGGCAGCAGUGGGGAAUAUUGGACAAUGGGCGGAAGCCUGAUCCAGCAACGCCGCGUGAGGGAUGACGGCCUUCGGGUUGUAAACCUCUUUCAGUACCGACGAAGCGUGAGUGACGGUAGGUACAGAAGAAGCACCGGCCAACUACGU
rnacentral:rRNA from 1 species